GCCUUCGUGGUGUAGUGGUCAGCACACUGGGCACGUAUUUCAGAGGUCCGUGGUUCGAAUUCUGGUGAAGGCA
rnacentral:tRNA from 1 species